rnacentral:tRNA from 14 species
GGGGCCUUAGCUCAGCUGGGAGAGCGCCUGCAUGGCAUGCAGGAGGUCAGGAGUUCGAUCCUCCUAGGCUCCACCA